CAUGGUGUCAUAAAAAAGGGGGGAGAGAACGGCGAGAGAUGGCAUUCCUCAGUCAAGAGCAGGCGGCGCCGGCAUGGUUCCUCUCGCUGGCCUUCCUCGGCACCCUUUACGCCGCUGCAUUCUCGUUCCGGUUCCUCGCCUACCUCGCGCUCUGCUUGCGCCGGCCGAAGGACCUCCGGCGCCGCUACGGCGCCUGGGCCGUCGUCACCGGCCCGACGUCCGGCAUCGGCCGGUCCGUCGCCCUGGAGCUCGCCAGCCGGGGGCUCAACCUCGUGCUCGUCGACCUCAACGCCGCCAACCUCAAGGAAAUCUCUCACACCGUCAGAUCUCGCCACGCCGUGCAGACCAAGACCGUGGUGUUCGACCUCUCGCUCGUUUCUACUGCCCAAGGUGACGAGGCGCUGCGGCGGCUCCGAGAGGCCGUGGCGGGGCUGGACGUGGGAGUGCUGGUGAACAACGCUGGGGUGGCGAAGCCGGGCGCCGUGUACCUGCACGAGGCCGACGUGGAGGCUUGUGUGAGGUUGAUGCGGGUGAACCUGUGGGCGUUGACGGAGGUGACCGCCGCGGUGCUGCCGGGGAUGGUGGAGCGGGGCAGGGGCGCCGUCGUCAACAUGGGCUCAGCCUCGUCGGAGGCCAUUCCCUCCUUCCCCCUCUACACCAUGUACGCCGCCACCAAACGGUAUGUCGCGCAGUUCUCCAGGAGCCUUUACGUUGAGUACAGAAGCAAAGGGAUCGAUGUGCAAUGCCAGGCUCCGUUCUACGUGGCGACCAGGAUGGUGUCGGUUCUGGCGGAGACCGGGCGGGCCGGGCGCCUCUCCAUGCUCCUCAUCGCCCCGACGCCCGGCGCGUACGCGCGCGCGGCGGUGCGCUGGAUCGGCCACGGCCCGCCCGUCUGCGCCCCCAACCUCGGCCACCAGCUCCUGUGGUGCCUCGCCGCCGUCCUGCCGGACUUCGUCCACGACUGGCUCCGCAUGCGCGAGCACCUGCAGCACAGAGCGGUGGCUCAGAGAGCGCCGAGACGUCGCGCUGGCGUGCCAACAACUCUCAAGUGAAUUCCUGGUGUUCCACAGACCCACACGUUCUGGUGUUCGAUUAACUGAACUCCCAAUGAACUGAAUCAUGUAAGCGUAUUUUGCAGAGGACAUGCAAUUAUUUGUCCAGAAAACCUAUCGGAGAGCGAAGUGCUUUUUCUUAUGGAAUCAAUAACUCCCGAACGUCCGGAUUUUAGCAUCUCCUCCCGAACCAUCUCGUUACCGUUGCACGAAUCUUGGCAGUCUGCGCUUGCCACGUCAUCACUGGGAGUCGUUCGGGAGGAAGCCAAAGUCGCCCGAACCACUCCCUCACUCUCCUCCUCCCGUUCGCCCCCCCCCCCCCCCCCCCACCACUCUCUUAUCCACACUACACAACACCAGAUGCCAGCGUUGGGCAGGCAGGAACGGCAGCGAAGGCCUCCGGCGGUUGGAGCAGGUCGCCGGGCGUGUGGAUGGUGAGCGGCAUGGCUGGGCUCCAGCGACGGCGGGCGUCCCCUCCACCGCAUCCCCACCAUGGACGGCCGGCCCCGAACUCCUUCGAUGCCGCAUCCCUGCCAUGGACGGCCGCCCCCCAAAUCCUCCCGGCGUCGCAUCCUUGCAGGUCAUCCAACGCUGCAUCCCCGCCAUGGACGGCCGGCCCUAAACUCCUCUACAUGGGACCUUCGGGUAGGCGGGAUGGGCUCGAGGCCGCGGUGGUGGCCGGAGGAGAUCCAGUGGUGCCCCGGUGGUAGCGGCGGCGAGGGCGUGGCACUGGCUAUAGGGGGGCGCUGCAUGCGGGAUCAUUCCCGAGAGCAAGGGCUGCUGAAGCUCUUCGGCUGGUCCUGCCGCUCAUGGAGCCGCCCGCCUCCGAGUGCUUUGUGCCACACUCCCCCUGCAUCGCUUUCGGCAGCGGCGGGGACAGCGGGUCGCUGCCUGCUUACUGCGAUGGCGCGUGCCUCGACGACGGGCCGACGAGGACCCGAGCCGCCGUGCCAUUCAAGCCUCUUCGGCUGCUCCGCCUCGACCAAGCGGUCAUGGUCGCGGCGGCCGCCGCCCAGGUGAUCGCGCUUGUCGUCUACGUCCAGCUCUUCAGCAUGGCCAUCAACUCGCUCUCAUUGUCACCAGCGUGAACCAUCAAGCAGUCACGGUACAAACUGCGGCAUAAUGGGCUUUACGGGAGUAACAACAGGCCUGCACGUGAGCAAUGCUAGGGGUUUGGGCUGGGGUUCCUCCCACCCCGAACCACUUCGUUCGAUCGACACCCGCCCCUAUAGCGAACGACUCGUUCGGGAUGGGAAUCUCCGAGACCGAAUAGUCGGUACUUAUCGGGGUCCUAUUUGUAAUGUUUUUGCUUCUUCUUUUUCAAUUCUUGAAGGCAAUUGUGUUUAGAGAAACAUUUUUUUCGCCAUAUAUAUUUUUUAAUAUAUUGCCAUGAUGGCAACUUUCGUA